AUAGGGGAGCCGUAGGGAAACCGAGUCUUAACUGGGCGAAUGAGUUGCAGGGUAUAGACCCGAAACCCGGUGAUCUAGCCAUGGGCAGGUUGAAGGUUGGGUAACACUAACUGGAGGACCGAACCGACUAAUGUUGAAAAAUUAGCGGAUGACUUGUGGCUGGGGGUGAAAGGCCAAUCAAACCGGGAGAUAGCUGGUUCUCCCCGAAAGCUAUUUAGGUAGCGCCUCGUGAACUCAUCUUCGGGGGUAGAGCACUGUUUCGGCUAGGGGGUCAUCCCGACUUACCAACCCGAUGCAAACUACGAAUACCGAAGAAUGUUAUCACGGGAGACACACGGCGGGUGCUAACGUUCGUCGUGAAGAGGGAAACAACCCAGACCGCCAGCUAAGGUCCCAAAGUCAUGGUUAAGUGGGAAACGAAGUGGGAAGGCUCAGACAGCCAGGAUGUUGGCUUAGAAGCAGCCAUCAUUUAAAGAAAGCGUAAUAGCUCACUGGUCGAGUCGGCCUGCGCGGAAGAUGUAACGGGGCUAAACCAUGCACCGAAGCUGCGGCAGCGACAUGUAAAUGUUGUUGGGUAGGGGAGCGUUCUGUAAGCCUGUGAAGGUGUGCUGCGAGGCAUGCUGGAGGUAUCAGAAGUGCGAAUGCUGACAUAAGUAACGAUAAUGCGGGUGAAAAACCCGCACGCCGGAAGACCAAGGGUUCCUGUCCAACGUUAAUCGGGGCAGGGUGAGUCGACCCCUAAGGCGAGGCAGAAAUGCGUAGUCGAUGGGAAACAGGUUAAUAUUCCUGUACUGGUGAUAAUUGCGAUGGGGGGACGGAGAAGGCUAGGCUGGCCGGGCGACGGUUGUCCCGGUUUAAGGAUGUAGGUGGGUGAAUUAGGCAAAUCCGGUUCGCUAUACACUGAGGUCUGAUGACGAGUCACUACGGUGGCGAAGUAGCUCAUGCCCCGCUUCCAGGAAAAGCCUCUAAGCUCUAGAUUAUCAUUAAUCGUACCCCAAACCGACACAGGUGGUCAGGUAGAGAAUACUCAGGCGCUUGAGAGAACUCGGGUGAAGGAACUAGGCAAAAUGGUGCCGUAACUUCGGGAGAAGGCACGCUGGCAUUAGGUGAAGUGGUUUACCCAUGGAGCUGAAGCCAGUCGCAGAUACCAGCUGGCUGCAACUGUUUAUUAAAAACACAGCACUGUGCAAACACGAAAGUGGACGUAUACGGUGUGACGCCUGCCCGGUGCUGGAAGGUUAAUUGAUGGGGUUAUCCGUAAGGAGAAGCUCUUGAUCGAAGCCCCAGUAAACGGCGGCCGUAACUAUAACGGUCCUAAGGUAGCGAAAUUCCUUGUCGGGUAAGUUCCGACCUGCACGAAUGGCGUAAUGAUGGCCAGGCUGUCUCCACCCGAGACUCAGUGAAAUUGAACUCGCUGUGAAGAUGCAGUGUACCCGCGGCAAGACGGAAAGACCCCGUGAACCUUUACUAUAGCUUGACACUGAACAUUGAGCCUUGAUGUGUAGGAUAGGUGGGAGGCUUUGAAGUGUGGACGCCAGUCUGCAUGGAGCCAACCUUGAAAUACCACCCUUUAAUGUUUGAUGUUCUAACGU
rnacentral:rRNA from 1 species